rnacentral:rRNA from 1 species
CAGCAGCCACGGGAAUACGAAGGGGGCUAGCGUUGUUCGGAAUUACUGGGCGUAAAGAGCUCGUAGGUGGUUUGUCGCGUUGUUCGUGAAAACUCACAGCUUAACUGUGGGCGUGCGGGCGAUACGGGCAGACUAGAGUACUGCAGGGGAGACUGGAAUUCCUGGUGUAGCGGUGGAAUGCGCAGAUAUCAGGAGGAACACCGGUGGCGAAGGCGGGUCUCUGGGCAGUAACUGACGCUGAGGAGCGAAAGCGUGGGGAGCGAACAGGAUUAGAUACCCGAGUAGUCCCUGUCUCUUAUAC